GUACUGCUGAAGAGUCCCAAUUAGGACGAAACAGCUGUCCAGUAC
rnacentral:hammerhead_ribozyme from 1 species